rnacentral:tRNA from 1 species
UCCCUGGAGGACUAGUGGUUAGGCCGCGGCACUCUCACUGCCGCGGCCGGGGUUCAAUUCCCAGCCAGGGAA